rnacentral:ncRNA from 1 species
GUGGAGUUUAGAGACUGCUGGGAUUUUGUGAGAUGUGCAGCAAUUUUCGCACACGAUGUGCGAAAAAGGCGCUCACCGAGCCAUGGAGGGCGAGUGGGCGCCGGUUGCGGACGGUGUCGAUAACAUGGACAAAAUCCAUGCAGACUCUUAACG